AACGCACCUUGCGCCCUGUGGUAUUCCGCAGGGCAUGCCCGUUUGAGUGUCAUUAAAUCAUCAACUCUAAACACCUUGCGUGUCUAGUGCUUGGUCUUGAGGGUCUUGCAGGCGCCUGGACGUCUGCUCCCUUUAAAUCCAUUAGCGAGACUUCCCUUUGCUGACCGUCUCUUGGCGUGAUAGUUAUCUACGUCGAUACGAGCGGUUCUCGUUGGGCUUGCUUCUAAUCGUCUUCGGACAGCCGAUUUGGGUGCAUAUAUGCGCUCCAUUUCAAACCUUUUUGACCUCAAAUCGGGUAGGACUACCCGCUGAACUUAA
rnacentral:misc_RNA from 1 species